rnacentral:misc_RNA from 1 species
GAUGAAGAACGCAGUGAAAUGCGAUAAGUAAUGUGAAUUGCAGAUUUUCAGUGAAUCAUCGAAUCUUUGAACGCACCUUGCGCUCCCUGGUAUUCCGGGGAGCAUGCCUGUUCGAGCGUCAUUACAACCCUCAAGCUCUGCUUGGUGUUGGGCCCCGCCGCCCCGGCGGGCCCUAAAGUCAGUGGCGGUGCCGUCCGGCUCCGAGCGUAGUAAUUUUUCUCGCUUUGGAGGCCCGGGCGCGUGCUCGCCAUCAACCCCCAAUUUUUUUCAGGUUGACCUCGGAUCAGGUAGGGAUACCCGCUGAACUUAAGCAUAUCAAUAAGCGGAGGA